rnacentral:rRNA from 1 species
ACGCUGGCGGCAUGCGUUACACAUGCAAGUCGGACGGCAGCACGGGUGCUUGCACCUGGUGGCGAGUGGCGAACGGGUGAGUAAUACAUCGGAACAUGUCCUGUAGUGGGGGAUAGCCCGGCGAAAGCCGGAUUAAUACCGCAUACGAUCUACGGAUGAAAGCGGGGGACCUUCGGGCCUCGCGCUAUAGGGUUGGCCGAUGGCUGAUUAGCUAGUUGGUGGGGUAAAGGCCUACCAAGGCGACGAUCAGUAGCUGGUCUGAGAGGACGACCAGCCACACUGGGACUGAGACACGGCCCAGACUCCUACGGGAGGCAGCAGUGGGGAAUUUUGGGACAAUGGGCGAAAGCCUGAUCCAGCAAUGCCGCGUGUGUGAAGAAGGCCUUCGGGUUGUAAAGCACUUUUGUCCGGAAAGAAAUCCUUGGUUCUAAUAUAGCCGGGGGAUGACGGUACCGGAAGAAUAAGCACCGGCUAACUACGUGCCAGCAGCCGCGGUAAUACGUAGGGUGCGAGCGUUAAUCGGAAUUACUGGGCGUAAAGCGUGCGCAGGCGGUUUGCUAAGACCGAUGUGAAAUCCCCGGGCUCAACCUGGGAACUGCAUUGGUGACUGGCAGGCUAGAGUAUGGCAGAGGGGGGUAGAAUUCCACGUGUAGCAGUGAAAUGCGUAGAGAUGUGGAGGAAUACCGAUGGCGAAGGCAGCCCCCUGGGCCAAUACUGACGCUCAUGCACGAAAGCGUGGGG